UCUCUGAGAAUUGGGGUAGGCCACAAAUCUCGGAUGAGCCCCCACAUGUAAGACCCCUGAAGCUGGUCCUUCGCUCAAGUCCCAGGAUGAGCUAGCAGGCACCCCAAUGAGAGAACA
rnacentral:pre_miRNA from 7 species